rnacentral:lncRNA from 15 species
AUGAUGAAGCCUGUCGCUCUCUUUCUGAUGAUGACGAUGAGGAUGAUGAUGGUUUCUGUCUCUGCUGGUCCUCUUCCUCCGUCACUCAACGACUCCAGACGUGAUGAUCAGAUCACCGCGAGUCCUCAGCUGCUCGUCAACAAAGAGGAAAACUCCACCAGAUUUAAUAUGAAAGAUGAGAUUCGAGUCUCGUCAAAGUGUCAACAACUCGCUGGAAGAUUUCUCACGAGAUUCGAACCGGACGACGAACGAGACGAGUCCUUUCAUGUACGUACAUUAAUCCUGACUUUUAAAAUCAGCUCCAGCUUUAAAAUCGAGUUCAAUCUGGUUUCUGUUUGUUUUCUAGAUUCAUUCUUCCGCUGGAGAAACUGUAAGAUCACUUUACAGUCACAGAUAUUCACCUGUACAGGUGUGACGUACCUGUGCAGGUUCACAUCCUCUCUCUCUCUCUCUGUGUGUGUUUCAGGGAAACCUCUGAAGAGUAAAUAAGGAUUUUAUACUCUGACCUCUGACCUGUGUGAAAUAAUCUGAUUGGCUGAGGGAAACAGCAGUGGGCGGAGCCAAAGAACUUCCUGUGUCAGACGGCGAGCGCAGUCGCAGACGCAGACGCAGACGCAGACGCAGACGCUCUCUUUAAUCUUCAGAUUAAAGUUUUUAUUAGAAAGUGAAAGUCAGUGAGAACGUAUCAAUACGAUCAAUAACACUGAUAUCAGCUGUUUCCAGAAUUGAUUAUUAGUUAUUAUGUUUUAUUGAUUCAACAC